UUGCAUGCUGAUUCUCGGGCAUUCAGGGAGCUUGCUCAGGUGCCAGUAGUGGCAGUGGUGAGCCAGGCAGGUGAGCAAGUCCUCCAGCCUCUGGACAUUAGGCAUGGCAGGGGUGAUGGCCAUAGCAGUGGCAGAACAUCCCUGUCUCCCAAGUGGUCUGCACUGAUGUUGGUGGUUGCUGCUGAGGCUCAGCAGGGAAGUCCCUGGUCCACAGGUGGCAAGUGAAGUGCUACUCUAAAGGGACAGCACAUCCCGCAAAGGACCUCUCCUAAAGAGCAGAGAACUUUUCAUUACUGGUGUUGUUCAAGAAAAGCCUUGAUGAUGUAGAAGAGA
rnacentral:lncRNA from 1 species